rnacentral:rRNA from 1 species
UACGUAGGGUCCGAGCGUUGUCCGGAAUUAUUGGGCGUAAAGGGCUCGUAGGCGGUUCGUCACGUCGGGAGUGAAAACUCGGAGCUUAACUCCGAGCCUGCUUCCGAUACGGGCAGACUAGAGGUAGGCAGGGGAGAGCGGAACUCCUGGUGUAGCGGUGGAAUGCGCAGAUAUCAGGAAGAACACCGGUGGCGAAGGCGGUCUCUGCGGCUACUGACGCUGAGGAGCGAAAGCGUGGGGAGCGAACAGG